rnacentral:rRNA from 1 species
AUUGAACGCUGGCGGCAGGCCUAACACAUGCAAGUCGAGCGAGCGGCGGGCGGGUGAGGAAUGUAUGGGGACUGCCCGAUAGAGGGGGAUAACUACUGGAAACGGUAGCUAAUACCGCAUACUAUCCGAUCACCCAGAUGGGAUUAGCUAGUAGGUGGGGUAAUGGCUCACCUAGGCGACGAUCCCUAGCUGGACUGAGAGGAUGAUCAGCCACACUGGGACUGAGACACGGCCCAGACUCCUACGGAGGCAGCAGUGGGGAAUAUUGCACAAUGGGCGCAAGCCUGAUGCAGCCAUGCCGCGUGUAUGAAGAAGGCUUUAGGGUUGUAAAGUACUUUCAGUAGGGAGGCGUUACCGACAGAAGAAGCACCGGCUAACUCCGUGCCAGCCGCCGCGGUAAUAC